rnacentral:tRNA from 1 species
UUGGCUGAGGGUAGCCCCUGAGGCCAGCCUGGGGCGCUGGUGCCGCCGAAUCCCGGGUUCAAAUCCCGGCGGCCCCACCA